AGUGAACGCUGGCGGUAGGCCUAACACAUGCAAGUCGAACGGCAGCACAGUAAGAGCUUGCUCUUACGGGUGGCGAGUGGCGGACGGGUGAGGAAUACAUCGGAAUCUACUUUUUCGUGGGGGAUAACGUAGGGAAACUUACGCUAAUACCGCAUACGACCUACGGGUGAAAGCAGGGGAUCUUCGGACCUUGCGCGAUUGAAUGAGCCGAUGUCGGAUUAGCAAGUUGGCGGGGUAAAGGCCCACCAAGGCGACGAUCCGUAGCUGGUCUGAGAGGAGGAUAAGGCCACAUGGAAUUGGGCAGCGGUCCAGCAUCCUAGGGGAGGCGGCAAGGGGAAAUCUUGGACAAAGGGCGCAGCCCUAAGCCAACCAUCCCGAGUGGGGAAAGACGCCCUACGGGUUGAAAAGCCCUUUUUUCGGAAAAAAAAGUCAACAGGUUAAAACCCCCGUGUUUUGGCGGUGCCAAAGGAAAAAGCCCCGGCUAACUUCGU
rnacentral:rRNA from 1 species